rnacentral:rRNA from 2 species
GGAUGCGAUCAUACCAGCACUAAAGCACCGGAUCCCACCAGAACUCCGAAGUUAAGCAUGCUUGGGCGAGAGUAGUACUAGGAUGGGUGACCUCCUGGGAAGUCCUCGUGUUGCAUUCC